AUGGCAUCCUCAGUUGUGGUGGAUCACAGCCAGCGUGAGAUGGAGAUCAAAGCCUUCCACGAAAGCAAAGCCGGCGUCAAAGGCCUCGUCGACGCCGGUGUCACCAAGCUUCCCUCCAUGUUCAUACACCCUCCAGAGGAUCUUCUCAGCUCUUCCCUCCCUCAAGAAGAAGAAGAAGACGACGAGCAUCUUCACAAGAUUCGCAGCCUUCAGUUCCCCGUGAUCGAUCUUACCGGGUUUGAUACUGAUUCCUCGGAGAGUCGAAAGGAGAUCGUGGAGGAGAUAAGGAGCGCGGCAGAGUCAUGGGGCUUCUUUCAGCUGGUGAACCAUGGGAUUCCUCUUGGCGUCAUGGAGGGAAUCCAGAGAGCAGUCCGAGCUUUCCAUGAGCUUCCUCAGGAGGAGAAAGCAAAGUGGUACUCGCGCGACUUUUCUCGCAAGGUUAACUUCUUCAGCUUUCAUGGAGAUCUCAGCGCAGCAACUCCGGCCGACUGGAGAGAUACCUUAUCUUGCAAGACUCUACAAGACCCCGAAAGCUUUGAAGAAAUACCACAAAUCUGCAGAGAAGAAGUGAAGGAGUACAUGGAAGGCAUCGAUGGAGUUGUGAUGAAGUUGUCUGAGUUAUUUUCGGAAGCUUUAGGUCUUGCAAGUGAUUAUCUAGCAAGCACAAGAUGCUUCAAUGCAAGGUCAAUGGCGUGUCACUAUUUCCCGAUAUGUCCCGAGCCACAUUUGACCAUGGGUGGGACCAAGCAUACUGACCUCGGGUUCCUCACCUUGCUCCUCCAAGAUAGUGUCGGCGGCCUUCAAGUUCUUCAUCAAGGUGUUUGGAUUGAUGUUCCUCCGGUCAAGGGUGCGUUGCUGGCCAAUAUUGCUGACAUGACGCAGAUUAUUACAAACGGGAAGUUCAAGAGCGUGGAGCACCGAGUUGUGCUAAGACCAACUGUAGAGCCACGUAUCUCAAUUGCAUGCUUUCUAAGCACUGAUGAUCUUGAUAGGCCAUAUGGGCCGAUAAAGGAGCUUUUAGCACAAGACAACAAGCCCAUUUAUGAGCAAGUCAUAUUCGGUGAAUACAUGAAGAAGUAUAAACUAUAA
rnacentral:rRNA from 1 species